UACGUAGGUGGCAAGCGUUGUUCGGAAUUACUGGGCGUAAAGGGCGCGUAGGCGGCCGCCUAAGUCAGACGUGAAAUCCCUCGGCUCAACCGGGGAACUGCGUCUGAUACUGGGUGGCUUGAAUCCGGGAGAGGGAUGCGGAAUUCCAGGUGUAGCGGUGAAAUGCGUAGAUAUCUGGAGGAACACCGGUGGCGAAGGCGGCAUCCUGGACCGGUAUUGACGCUGAGGCGCGAAAGCGUGGGGAUCAAACAGG
rnacentral:rRNA from 1 species